UUUUUAAAACACUCAACCAUAGUUCCACCGUCUCAUAUUAGGCUUUAACUUUCCACAAAUCGUUCAAACCAUGUCAAACAGAAACCGCGGCCACCCUCAUCCUCCUCCACCACCACACGCCGCCUUAUCUCCACAAAUCCACGAUCCAAUCUUCGCCAUGCGAGGUGGUGGAGGAGGCCAUCCUCCACACCCAUCCCUUCUAGAAGAUUUCCGUGAAUCUCAAUUAGGGUUAGGUCACCGCCCUCUCCAACUCCACCCCGCUGCCGUCAUCGAGGAGCGUCUCGCUGUUCAGCACGGAGAGAUUCAAGGUCUAUUAGGUGACAAUCAGAGAUUUGCGGCCACUCAUGUGGCACUGAAACAGGAGCUUGAGGCUGCUCAACAUGAAUUGCAGAGAAUGGCGCAUUUUAAGGAUUCUCUUAGGGCUGAUACUGAGGUUCGGAUGAGGGAAUUGUAUGAGAAGGCGGGUCAAUUGGAGGCUGAGCUUCGUGGCGCCGAGGCAGCUAGGGCUGAACUUCAACAGAUUCACGGUGAUGUCAAAGAGCUCACUGCUGUUAGGCAGGAUUUGUCUGGACAAGUGCAGGCUAUGUCGCAGGAUUUGGCGAGGAUGACUGCUGAUUUGAAACGAAUGCCGGCUUUGAGAGCUGAUGUUGAUGCUAUGAAACAAGAAUUGCAACGUGCAAGAGCUGCCAUUGAAUAUGAGAAGAAAGGAUUCACGGAAAACUAUGAACAUGGUCAAGUGAUGGAGAAGAAGUUGAUUGCCAUGGCUCGGGAGAUGGAGAAGCUUCGUGCAGAGAUUGCAAAUGCAGAAAAAAGAGCACGUGCCACCGCUGCCGCCGCUGCUGGGAAUCCAGGUCAAGGGUAUAAUGCAAAUUAUGGCACUGCUGAGACUGGAUAUGCUGGAAAUCCUUACCCUGCCUAUUAUGGCAUGAAUCAGGGUUAUGAACUUGGGGCCCAAACUCCUGUCUGACGCUGUUACAGUCACAUCUGCAUGUUGAGUAGGAUGCAUGUUGGAUAGGAUCGUAGUCCCAAAAAUUCAGGAGUUGAGAUCCUCUCCAUUUCUCAAAAGAAAUAGAGUGGUCCAUUUAUGAGAGAGAGGCACAUGUGGAAGAUUAAUACCAUCGGAGACGCUCUCAUGUGUGGGCCACAUGCUAAUUUGGAAUGGUUGAUAGAUAGAAUGGUUGAAGCCCAUGACCCGUUAGAUCCAACUGCAAAUAUUACCAUCAAAUGGGAUGUAAUGAGUUGGGCUGCAUAUGGCUACCAAGUAAGUGUAUUCUGCCGCCACGAACUUAAUCAAGGAAAACCAACAUGAAACCCUUGCUCCUGUCAUUAAAUCGGACUACUUUUAUUUCAUGAUCUAAGCAUGCUCGCUGGACCACCGUCUAUUCUGCCGCAGUGAAGCCGUUUCUGACGACAAGGGUUUUCAUCCAUUCUACGCAUACCACUUGCCAUGGGUCUCCUCUGUCUCUGCAAUAUUCAUAUCCUGCUUCUUUUCAUUUUUUGCAUUUGAGAGCCAUGGAUCACACUACUUUUUUAAUAUUGUAAGCAUAUGUAUUAGUAAUUAUUCGGAGUUUGAUUCAUACUCUAUCUUUGUUCUUUUUCACAGUUUGCAUAUUCUUUUGAAGGUAACAAAAUAUCUCUCCUUUGUUUUUUUUUUUUUUUUUAAUUUAGGCUUCAAGAAAAAGAUGAAGACAAGAGAGAAAUGAACACAUCACAAGUUUCUUUUAUUCUUUUUUAGUUUUUGUUCUUAAUAAAUGACUGAUUUUGAAGUCUAGAUUAGCAUUAGAUUAUUUAGAUGUAUUGAAGCAGGUGAAUUUCAUUUUGAGUUAUUGUUAUCUUUCUUUGAAUGACAGAUUUUGAAGUCUAAUGUGGCAGGAUCGAAGUGGGAGGAAUGCAGUGUGACAAUAUAUGAGUUGAAAUUCAAGACCAGCUAUCGAUCCAAGGUAUUUGUCUUUUACAUAUUUUUGGAGCAACAACAGCUUUGGAGAAACACUUGAAUUAUACUAUAAACACUAAUUGAGAUUUUGAAAAACCUAUUAAAACUGCCAUUUAUGGAAAGUUGGAUGUACAGGUUUUUUUCCAAGGAUAUGUCAUCGAGCAAUGCAUCUUCUUGCAUAUCACAAAAGAAUACUAUGUAUGAAUAUGUAUGAUAAGGAAAUUCAAUUAAUUGUAUGUGCCGCAAAAGAGGAGCAAUAAUACUGCCCUGAGCUUGCAAUUGUUUCUUUCCAAUGCUAUUUUUUUU